ensembl:lncRNA
CAGACUUUGGACUUUCAGCUGUAACUGCAGCAAAACUUUCUGGUUUCCAGAACUUGCCAGAAGCAGAAAGUAUAAAGGUCAUAUCUAGUUCUUAUGACUCUCAUCAUCAUUUCUCUAUGUCAAGGACAUAUUCAUUUAUAUGUGCUCCAUGUUUUUCUCUUUUAUUCCACAAAACAGCCAUUUCAUUUUCAAAGAGAGAUCUCAGGAAAAAAUCAGAAUGUCUGCUUUAAGUUGACUUGCAGAGCUAAUGAAUCAGAAUCACCCAAGUAAUGAAGAAGAGAGAGAAAUGUAUACACUGAGGAAAGAGCUCAAUAAGGACUGAGCUAAUAAAAUCAGCUGUUAAAAAACAAAGGGCAGGCAUUACUUUUCCAGUACUGCAGACCAUGAAGCUAAGGAAGACCAUUAAAGAAAUGAGUUGUUUAUAUUCAUCCAGCAAUUAUGUAAAAUUCUACCAUAUGCUGGGCAAGUGAAGUAGUUUGAGGACAUCCCAAAAGAGAACACUGAAAAACAGCAGAUAAAAAACAAGGCUCUGAGUUAUACCCUAUGAAUUUAUCCUUGGUGAUUUGGAAAAAGCAUCAAGUAAACCUACCUGGAAGGCGAACAGUUGGCUGACCUAAACCAAACCACGCUCCUGGAAUGGGAAUAUUGCAGCAGUACAGCAGUGUAAAGUUCUCAUAUUUGAAUGCUUAUUAAAU